UGUUAUAAGAUUUUCAUUCACUCAGGAGUAAGCCAGUGAUCCUCCCUGUUAUGAGGAUUCCAGGGGGAUUCGGAGAUUCCUAAAGCCCUCCAACGUUUAGCGACGAUGGACGAUGGCAGACCCGUGCCUUCCUUGAGCUCAAAACCCAAAUGGCUCCUGUGUCUCCUGCCUGUGUGUCCCCUUCCCCAAUGAGCCAAAACGCACAGCUCACUGUUUGACUACAAUGGACAUAUUGCAAAGAGAAUUAAGAUUUUGUAGGUGCCCUGAGCCUCGGUUAGCAUGAAAAUUUCCGCUUGAAAACAAUCUCCCAAGGAAUGCUUUAGGAAAGAUGCUGGUGACUUCCAGGCAACUUAGAAGAUGUGGGUUUUAUUACGGUUUCAGUGGGCAUCCUCCCUCCUACAUGUAUGGUCACCCAUCAACACAGGCCAGUCUGACGAAGACAAAACCAGCACGGAGCAUGCCCUCUCUGCAUCACUGUCCCAGGAAUUGGUUACGCAGUGAUAAGCAAAACACCCACACUUCCUGCAAUUUAAGAGCCCAGCAAGAAGCCUUCAUGGUAACUAGAAAAUGGAGACCGUACCUUCUACCUGCCUGCGUCUACUGAGGGGCCUACAGCUAAAGCAAUACCAUAAAUGCUCAAUAAACGUUGCUCAAAUUCUCACGGUAAUAGCAGAAUGCCCAGAAAUUACCUGAAUAAUAUUUUGCAAUUGUUCAAGCCGUUUGGACAAAACGCAUUAGGAAGCUGAAGAGAAUGUGGGUUGACCCUUUCAUUUCUUCUGUUUCUUCUUAUAUUAUCAAACUUGGAACCAUUUGUCAGGUUUUGCUUGUAAUUUCUAACUUUCCAAAUGUAAUGUUACCACGUUUCUCGUUACACAUAAGUAAUAUUUGGUUAAAUAUUGCCGAGGCCGUGUCUCCAUGACAGGGGGAAAAAGAGAUUUCAGCAGAAAAUAAAGCAAAAUAUGUUUGGUCGGAA